UACGUAGGGUGCGAGCGUUGUCCGGAAUUAUUGGGCGUAAAGAGCUUGUAGGCGGUUUGUCGCGUCUGCUGUGAAAAUCCGGGGCUCAACCCCGGACUUGCAGUGGGUACGGGCAGACUAGAGUGUGGUAGGGGAGACUGGAAUUCCUGGUGUAGCGGUGAAAUGCGCAGAUAUCAGGAGGAACACCGGUGGCGAAGGCGGAUCUCUGGGCCAUUACUGACGCUGAGGAGCGAAAGCGUGGGGAGCAAACAGG
rnacentral:rRNA from 1 species